rnacentral:rRNA from 1 species
UACGGGGGGGGCAAGCGUUGUUCGGAAUUACUGGGCGUAAAGCGCGCGUAGGCGGCUUUGCAAGUCGAUUGUGAAAUCCCCAGGCUUAACCUGGGAACUGCAUUCGAGACUGCAUAGCUAGAGUAUGGGAGAGGGAAGUGGAAUUUCAGGUGUAGCGGUGAAAUGCGUAGAUAUCUGAAGGAACAUCAGUGGCGAAAGCGACUUCCUGGACCAAUACUGACGCUCAUGUGCGAAAGCGUGGGGAGCAAACAGG